GUGGGACCUGGUCCAACCCAGCCCAGACCUCAGCCACACAGCUGUGCCUGAGUCAGGGGCCAAGGUCCC
rnacentral:pre_miRNA from 15 species